GUUGAUUUUUUAUUUCAUAUUCCUACCACAAAAGCAAUGUGCUUAACCCAGGUUCUACAAAUGUUGCAUUAUUUCACAGAAACCAUAUGAGAAUAUAUUUAUAUGACAACAUCAAACUUCAUAUAGCAUCAUCAGUUCCAUACAUAUAUAAUUACACUACAAGGCUACAAAGGUACCAUCCACAAAAGGAUCUGCUAACUACAAUAAUACUAGCAAAAUACACCGGCUUGCAACUACCACCAGAUGUAUCAACAUCAGUUCCAUACAUACACUACAAGGCUACAAAGGUACCAUCCACAAAAGGAUCUGCCAACUACAACAAUACUAGCAAAAUACGCCGGCUUGCAACUACCACCAGAUCUUAGUUCACAUUCCUAAGCCAUACCAGAUACACAAGUCCACAAAAGAGCAUAUUACGACCACAUAUAGUCUGAUGUUAUCAUGUUGAUUGAGCAAUCAGUUUCCGCCAUGGUUGGCUGCGUCAACGGUCUGAUCGCCGACAUUCCCAGCGGCUUCAUCCUCCUUGCUUGACUCCAUGACAUUAUUGUUGCCAUCAACCGCUUGCGAGCCGGCUUGAGAUGAGUUAUUUGUCCCCUGAAUCAAGAAGUAACCUAAUUGUUAUUUAAUCUGAUUUAGAACAAUAAAAAUACAAUACUUUGUUGGAUAACAAGUGGAGACAACAUAACCAAAUGAACCAAAUAAUAUCCAUUUAUUGAUUAAUGCUUGGCACCAAGAACUGAUUUUGUCUAGGCUACUUUCAAGUUCCAAUCAGAUGGACCUUAAGCAUGACAAGCAUUAUUUAUACGGAAAUUGGGCACAACAGCUAAAGAAUCUUGUGAGAAUAGACAAGCUCACAGAUGCAAACAUCCAAACAAAUUAAUACAAAACAUGAAAAACAAUCUCAUAUGCAACACAGUGUUGAUAUUGCAGCCACAUCAACGUAGACAUGUCAGAAGGAACGCACAAAACUAAGUUGAGUAGUGGACAUCACACAUUCAUCCAUAUGAUAUAUACAACUUCAAGUUUCUCAUACACUUACUUCUGGUUGCGAAACAGCUCCAUGGCUUAGUAUAUGUAGUAUAUGAGCCGGCAACUCUUUUCCUAUCUCCUUGAAAAGUGCCUGCAAACAAAGAAGAAAUGUUACUAGAGUUGAUACUUGAGAAGUUAAGAUCCACUGUUUUAGAAUGUGGGCAUGAAUUUGUACAUACAGUUAUGAGCUGCCCAUGCAUAUCUACUUUCUGCUGUAGCAUCUCCUUAGCACGCCUGAGUUCUGCAUUUUCUUCAUUAACACGCCUGAGUUGUUCCUUCUCUCGAAUGUGAGCGAAAUUGAUGCACUAGCAUUUCUU
rnacentral:lncRNA from 1 species